GGACAAAAAGAAAACCCCCGACGCUCCGGGGCAGCCCGGUUCAGCCCGGUUCACCGCUGCCCGCAAGCUCCAGGCCAGAUUGUUCCAUUUUCAGUGCUGGAUCCAUUAACUGGAGGCUCAACAAUCAGUCUUGGCUCUAUCAGUGCAUCCCAACUUUCAGUUAUCUGAAAACAAAAGACAAACAAUACUCAGCAUGCACAAGCUGUACAGGAAAUGCAAUUUCUCUUUCAUUAUGCUUCAUCUCAGCCUGGACAACAGCACUACUGGACAAAGGUCACAGAUCCUUCCUGUGAUUCUUCAGUCUUCCACCUCAGCCUGCCUGAAAUCCCAGGAAAUGAAACCACAAUAGAGAUGACUUACUGACUGGAUAAACCUCAUUUUGUAUAUACCUGUGAGCAUGCAAGUGUCAGAACUUCUACAUUAUAACUUUUGAGAAGGAACCCAAAGAAACUGGGAAUACUCC